rnacentral:rRNA from 1 species
UACAGAGGUCCCAAGCGUUGUUCGGAUUCACUGGGCGUAAAGGGUGCGUAGGUGGUUGGGUAAGUCUGAUGUGAAAUCUCCGAGCUUAACUCGGAAAUGGCAUUGGAUACUAUUCGGCUAGAGGGUUUGAGGGGGGACUGGAAUACUUGGUGUAGCAGUGAAAUGCGUAGAUAUCAAGUGGAACACCAGUGGCGAAGGCGAGUCCCUGGAAAACUCCUGACACUGAG